ACAGCUCUGCAGACAGAGCUCCGAGCUGCUUCGCUCUCGGCCCUCUUCCUCCAACCUUUAAAGGACCACUUUCGAUAAAUAAUCUCAAAUUUGAGAUUGGGGUGGAUUAUUUAAAAAAAUAAAAUAAAAUAAAGGGAAUAUCUCCAGGAAACAACCCGGAUCUGACCGGCUGCCUUUCCUCGGACUAUGAAAGGAGGAGUUUUGAUGCUGGAUGGAGACCUCUGACUCCGCUGACCACAACACUUCCAGGUCAGGUGACCAAAGAAAUGACAAGCACGUCAUCAACUCCUGUGUGCAGCGAAUGUAUUGCAAAAUCUGCCGACAAAUGUCCACUGUACUGACUUUUAUAGCUGUAAUUGUGAUUGCAAAUUUCUUUUUGUAAACAGCUUUCUUUUCUUUUCUUUUUUAACUGUUACUUCAUGGCUGAAUGUGAUUGUAAAUGAGUUCGUAAUAAUAUACAUUAUUGAUUGCGCAAACGGAACAUCAAUUUAAAAAUGUUUAAAAUAGCAGCUCAGCUCAGUGUUGAAGCGGGUCACUCCUAUUGAGAAGCCUGUACGAUUUAUCUCCUCUAUCUGCAUGCUGUCAGGCUGCUGGCCUCAUCCUCCUUAGUGCUAAAUCAAGUUCAAAGAGGACCACUGGUGUUUGGCAGAUAGUUUUACAUGAGGGGCAGGGGCAGGACCAUUUGUUUGGUCAACCUCUGGCUCCCUCUUUGAUUCGCAGCUAUCUGUGACCCCAUGGCAGAGCGGCGCCACUUAAGGCUCUUCGUUCAGGCACAACGCUCACUGAUAAAAUCAGCACCGGAACUCACUUCAGUUUCAGUCGCCGAUUUUCCAGCUAUAUUUACUGAAUGCUCAUAUUUAGCAACUUUCAAAAGUAUUCAUACCCUUUGAUGAGUAGAUUCACACACUUCGGUGUAUUUCAUUCAGACUCCGUAUUAUAGAUCAAGAACCUAUGCGUAAUUUUACUUACCAAAAAACUCCAGCUGUGUGUAAUUUGAUUUCCGUAUAAGUGCAGUUUUUCUACGAAGGCCCCAGAUGUUUGUUAGGGAACGUCAGAAAAAGCAGAAAGACCAAAGAACCACAACAUAUCAGGGAGAAAGUGGAGGAGACGUGUAACGCAUGGUUAGAUUAAAACACAGUAUCUCCUGUAUUGAACAGCUCAGCUCUGCAUUAAGUGACGGGCUGGCUGGGAUGCACAUCUGCCCCGAUCAGCAGGAACAGAAAAGCUGGACAGAGUUUAUGUGAAAAUAGGCCGAUAAUGAUUAGAGAAUAGGGUGGAGAUCAACCGUCACACAGAACAAAUAACCAAAACAUACAGCUGGAAUAUAAUCAAGUGAUUUGGAUAUAAAAGCAUAUGACUUUUUUUUUUAGAAAAAAAGUGCAGACCCAACUCAAAAAGAAUAUACUUGAAAAUCUAGAUGACGCUGCAUAACCUGAUGGAGCUUGAGCUUCAACUAAAGUUUCAGUUUCUAGAUGGGCAAAAAUCUUACACCUGUAAUUGCGGCAAAAAGCUAUUUUAAAAAGCAUUGACUUGAGCACAAAUAUAUUUCUGUCACACUUUUACGUAACAAAAUUCAGAAUCUUUCCAUUUCACAGCUGACUUUGCGUGGGUCUGUCAUAUAAUCCAAGUGACCUGCACUGACAUUUGUGUUUUCUGACAUACCAACAUUUACUAAAGUUCAAAGGUAUGAAUAGUUUUGAAGGCACUGUUGGAAGUCCUUAAGGCUUCAUGUCACUUCCAUGAUUUAUGCCAGAUUAAGUUGGUUGAUUUUUAUAACAUGUAUGAAAGAAAAUAAAAACUUUGUUCCUGCACCAACUACUCAUGUUAAAAUACAAGUUAAAGCUGUUCUGUUUUGUAAAAAUACACACAGCUAUAACAAAGGCAUCAAAAGCACAUUGAAUCCGUGAUGUGAUAGCAGCAGUUCAGUUUCCAGCCUUGUUCUGCUGUUUCUCAAUCAGUUUGGUAAUACAGAACAUUUUCCAAAGAAAUGUAUGUGCCUUUCCCCUGAAGACAACUGACCAAAACUGGAAACGCAUCAGAAAAAAUAGUCCCGUGUUUGCUUUGCAUUGCAAGUGUGUUAUCACGUUAAAAGAAUAAAUAAUGCAUUGUGAUUUGAUACAUGUUGCUGUGGGGCAAAACUGAGGCAUUAAUAAAAUUACAUACUGAUUCAAAAGA